rnacentral:rRNA from 1 species
UACGUAGGGUGCAAGCGUUGUCCGGAAUUUAUUGGGCGGUAAAGAGUCUGCGUAAGGCGGCUUGUCGGCGGUUCUGCCGUGAAAGUCCGGGGCUCAAACUCCCGGGAUCUGCGGUGGGUACGGGCAGGACGUAGAGUGAUGUAGGGGAGACUGGAAUUCCUGGGUGUAGCGGUAGAAAUGCGACAGGAUAAUCAGGAGGAACACCGAUGGCGA